GUCUGAGUGACCGAGCGUCUUCUGAAAAGUCGGACGAGGAAAGCGAUUCCUCGGGACCUGAUCAUUGCUAUGGUCCACAAGAUGAAGACAGCUGCAGCAGCGUCCAAAGCAAUGAGUCGGAGAGAUCAAACUCAUCGUGCGCUCAAAAUCCUGGUCAUUUUGCCAGCACUCAUAAUUUUGGCGACUGUGGCAGCGGCUCUGAAUCCCGUACUGCUCAAACGGAGCCUCGUCGGAGACGCAAGUCGCCAUCCAAAAGCUCUUCUUCUAACAUCUCGAAAUGUCGUGCGGGGUCGGAGGACUGGUCGUGUCUGGACCAGCUGUGCCGUGACGUGUGGCCCGCCCUUGCCGUGAUAGGCGGGGUGGACGGCGGCCUGAGGGUCGGAGGACAGUGUGUGGUCGGCGGUCCCAGCGGCCGUCGUGCCAUGGUGCUCGGCAUGCUCAAACCUGGACAAACUUCCAUUAAGGUUCAGUGGUGCGAU